AAAUGCGGAAAUAAAGAAGGGCAAUGAAAAGUGAUAUUUAUCUUUACUGUUGUUGUUGUAUUAUUCCUUUUAAUUUUGUCUUGUUUUUUUUAACCUACUU
rnacentral:ribozyme from 12 species